UUUUACCCAACGCAUCUAAGUUGCUGUGGAAGCAACUCAGGAAAUCGGUUUCGGAAUCAAGAAGAGAAGAAUCUUCACACCAAACCCUUAGUCUUCUAGUCCAAGUCUCUAUGGAUUGUCCACAAAGUGAUCUUCCGAUGGCUGAAAUGGCAAGUGAAAGUCCCUUACAGCGUUCUACUAUCUGCAGUUCAAUUGUCCCAAUGAAAGUCAAUUACUUUUGAAUUGAGACUCAAAUUCUAGAUUCUCUAAAUGUUCUGAAUGGUUUGAUGAAA
rnacentral:lncRNA from 1 species